rnacentral:rRNA from 1 species
GGUAGCUAGCGGCAGACUAACACAUGCAAGUCGAGGGGUAGAGGAAGCUUGCUUCCUUGAGACCGGCGCACGGGUGCGUAACGCGUAUGCAAUCUACCUUGUACAGGGGGAUAGCCCAGAGAAAUUUGGAUUAAUACCCCAUAGUAUAUAACCUUCGCAUGUUGGUUAUAUUAAAGUUCCAACGGUACAAGAUGAGCAUGCGUCCCAUUAGUUAGUUGGUAAGGUAACGGCUUACCAAGACGAUGAUGGGUAGGGGUCCUGAGAGGGAGAUCCCCCACACUGGUACUGAGACACGGACCAGACUCCUACGGGAGGCAGCAGUGAGGAAUAUUGGGCAAUGGAGGCAACUCUGACCCAGCCAUGCCGCGUGCAGGAAGACGGUCCUAUGGAUUGUAAACUGCUUUUAUACAGGAAGAAACACCGCUACGUGUAGCGGCUUGACGGUACUGUAGGAAUAAGGAUCGGCUAACUCCGUGCCAGCAGCCGCGGUAAUACGGAGGAUCCAAGCGUUAUCCGGAAUCAUUGGGUUUAAAGGGUCCGUAGGCGGCCUUAUAAGUCAGUGGUGAAAUCUCCUAGCUCAACUAGGAAACUGCCAUUGAUACUGUAGGGCUUGAAUUAUUGUGAAGUAACUAGAAUAUGUAGUGUAGCGGUGAAAUGCUUAGAUAUUACAUGGAAUACCAAUUGCGAAGGCAGGUUACUAACAAUUGAUUGACGCUGAUGGACGAAAGCGUGGGGAGCGAACAGGAUUAGAUACCCUGGUAGUCCACGCCGUAAACGAUGGAUACUAGCUGUUCGGACGCAAGUUUGAGUGGUUAAGCGAAAGUGAUAAGUAUCCCACCUGGGGAGUACGCACGCAAGUGUGAAACUCAAAUGAAUUGACGGAAGGGCGAAUUCUG